UUAAGUCAAAUACUCCCUUUUUUUUAGAAAAACACACGUACAGCAUCACAUUCCAUCUUAGAAAAAAAGACCCCAACUAAUAUUCAUUGUUUUUUAAAACCAUGGAACAAAUACCCCCUUCCAGAUCCGUCGUUUUCCCUUCCCAAAAACACAACAAGCAUUGAAAAGAAAUUAGAGUUCUGUCACGUCACAGGGCUGCUUCUCCGUCGCCGCCACUGCUGUCUGCCGUCGUCGCUGCGGAAGCCCCAGCAGCCGCUGCCCUCUUUUCCCAAGCAAUUGAGACAAAGGCUAAACUUAAAGAUUGAAACUUUGUACCGAGCACGAUGAUUCAGAAUUAUCCUAAAUGAAUGCAAGGAAUUCAAGGCUGGGAAUUGAUAGCUUUUAUUUGAUGUAGGGUGGAAUUCCACGAGUUGAUGUUUCCCUUAAAAGCUGCGGUUGAUUUUGUCGUCUCUUUGGCCUAUACUUUUCGGAUUCUUUCGAUGGAGAAGAAUAUGAUAACAAUGUCUUUUCUGUAUUCCUUCUUCGUAUAUAGAAUUCUGUAGAGAUUUCUGUCAUCGUCAAAUCUAAAAUCUGAUUUGUUUAUAUAAGUUAUAUGCAACCUUUCACGAAAAGUUGCAUCCGUUCACUUAUACCCUUUCAUGUAAAACCCAUCAGAUUUUUCUGUAGACUUUAUUUUACAGCUUUC